rnacentral:rRNA from 1 species
GUGAGGAAUAUUGCGCAAUGGAGGCAACUCUGACGCAGCCAUGCCGCGUGCAGGAAGAAGGCGCUACGCGUUGUAAACUGCUUUUAACCGGGAAGAAACCCCAGGACGUGUCCUGGGUUGACGGUACCGGAGGAAUAAGCACCGGCUAACUUCGUGCCAGCAGCCGCGGUAAUACGAAGGGUGCAAGCGUUAUCCGGAUUCAUUGGGUUUACAGGGUGCGUAGGCGGAGCGGUAAGUCAGUGGUGAAAUCCUGCAGCUUAACUGUAGACUUGCCAUUGAUACUGGCGCUCUUGAGUGCGCUUGAAGUGGGCGGAAUGUGCCGUGUAGCGGUGAAAUGCUUAGAUAUGGCACAGAACACCAAUUGCGAAGGCAGCUCACUAAGGCGAUACUGACGCUGAGGCACGAAAGCGUGGGGAUCGAACAGGAUUAGAAACCCCUGUAGUCC